rnacentral:rRNA from 1 species
AUUGAACGCUGGCGGCAUGCUUUACACAUGCAAGUCGAACGGCAGCGCGGGCUUCGGCCUGGCGGCGAGUGGCGAACGGGUGAGUAAUGCAUCGGAACGUGCCCAGCAGUGGGGGAUAGCCCGGCGAAAGCCGGAUUAAUACCGCAUACGACCUGAGGGUGAAAGCGGGGGACCGAAAGGCCUCGCGCUAUUGGAGCGGCCGAUGUCGGAUUAGCUAGUUGGUGGGGUAAAGGCUUACCAAGGCGACGAUCCGUAGCUGGUCUGAGAGGACGACCAGCCACACUGGGACUGAGACACGGCCCAGACUCCUACGGGAGGCAGCAGUGGGGAAUUUUGGACAAUGGGGGCAAACCUGAUCCAGCCAUGCCGCGUGCGGGAAGAAGGCCUUCGGGUUGUAAACCGCUUUUGUUCGGGAAGAAAUGCUCUGGGCUAAUACCCCGGGGGGAUGACGGUACCGGAAGAAUAAGCACCGGCUAACUACGUG